rnacentral:rRNA from 1 species
UACGUAGGGCGCAAGCGUUGUCCGGAAUUAUUGGGCGUAAAGAGCUCGUAGGCGGUCUGUCACGUCGGCUGUGAAAACCCGGGGCUCAACCCCGGGCCUGCAGUCGAUACGGGCAGACUGGAGUCCGGCAGGGGAGACUGGAAUUCCCGGUGUAGCGGUGAAAUGCGCAGAUAUCAGGAGGAACACCGGUGGCGAAGGCGGAUCUCUGGGCCAUUACUGACGCUGAGGCACGAAAGCGUGGGGGAUCAAACAGG